GCGGCAAGACAGGAUGGUGAUUCGUCGCGGAUGGGCAGAGUAGAGAGGAGGAGAUCGGAUGAACGGCUGGACGGAGCUGGACAGGCAGGUCGUCCUUCCGCGACUUAGCUUGCUGACUGCGGGUUGUUGAUGUUUUCCUUCCUUUUCCGAAGGAUCCUGUCCCGUUCUCGUUCUGUUCCUGUUCGGCAUCUCCGCAAAGAAAGAGGAGGAGCUGCAGUUUGCUGAGAUUGAUAUAGACUAUACUUGUUUCUGAUUGGUUGUUUCUUAUUGUUUGUUGUUAACUCCUUUGCUGCUGGAGAUAAUCAGUAAAGAAGGUUAUGCAAAA